CAGUCGCCGCGGGAAUACGAAGGGGGCUAGCGUUGCUCGGAAUUACUGGGCGUAAAGGGCGCGUAGGCGGACAGUUCAGUCGGGGGUGAAAGCCCGGGGCUCAACCUCGGAAUUGCCUUCGAUACUGGCUGUCUUGAGUAUGAGAGAGGUGUGUGGAACUCCGAGUGUAGAGGUGAAAUUCGUAGAUAUUCGGAAGAACACCAGUGGCGAAGGCGACACACUGGCUCAUUACUGACGCUGAGGCGCGAAAGCGUGGGGAGCAAACAGGAUUAGAUACCCCAGUAGUCCCUGUCUCUUAUAC
rnacentral:rRNA from 1 species